AACUUUUGGCAAUGGAUCUCUUGGUUCCGGCAUCGAUGAAGAACGCAGCGAAAUGCGAUAAGUAGUGUGAAUUGCAGAAUUCAGCGAACCAUCGAAUCUUUGAACGCACAUUGCGCCCGCCGGUAAUCCGGCGGGCAUGCCUGUUCGAGCGUCGUUUCACCGCCCAGGCCAGGCCUGGUGUUGGGGCUCCUAGGGCGACCUAGGCCCCGGACCUCAAGUGGCGGCGCGCCCAGCUCCGAGCGAAGUAGUAAAAUCCCCCGCUCAGGACGCCCCGGGCGCGGCUGGCCGUUAAACAACUCAAUUUAACAGGUCGACCUCGGAUCAGGCAGGAAUACCCGCUGAACUUAAGCAUAUCAAUAAGCGGAGGCU
rnacentral:misc_RNA from 1 species